GCAUGGCUGAAUACUGUGUUCUUUCAUCAGUAGUUUACACAGCCAGACACCAUGCAAAAGUAAAGGCUUCCCUUUAAAAUGACUGAUGAUAUGCUGGUUUUUCCUAGUAUAUCGUUAUUGAAAGUGACUACAAAU
ensembl:snoRNA